AUUCCCGCUCCAAUAGCGUAUAUUAAAGUUGUUGCAGUUAAAAAGCUCGUAGUUGAACUUUGGGCCUGGGCGGACGGUCUACCUAUGGUAAGCACUGUUGCGGCCGGGUCUUUCCUUCUGGCUAGCCCUCGGGCGAACCAGGACGAUUACCUUGAGGGAAAUUAGAGUGUUCAAAGCAGGCCUUUGCUCGGAUAUAUUAGCAUGGAAUAAUAGAAUAGGACGCAUGGUUCUAUUUUGUUGGUUUCUAGGACCAUCGUAAUGAUUAAUAGGGACGGUCGGGGGCAUCAGUACUCAGUAGUCAGAGGUGAAAUUCUUGGAUUGACUGAAGACUAACUACUGCGAAAGCAUUUGCCAAGGACGUUUUCAUCA
rnacentral:rRNA from 1 species